rnacentral:rRNA from 1 species
GAACGCUGGCGGCAGGCCUAACACAUGCAAGUCGAGCGGGUUUCGGACCUAGCGGCGGACGGGUGAGUAAUGCGUAGGAAGCUACCCGAUAGAGGGGGAUACCAGUUGGAAACGACUGUUAAUACCGCAUAAUGUCUACGGCCAAAGUGUGGGACCUUCGGGCCACAUGCUAUCGGAUGCGCCUACGUGGGAUUAGCUAGUUGGUGAGGUAAUGGCUCACCAAGGCGACGAUCUCUAGCUGGUUUGAGAGGAUGAUCAGCCACACUGGAACUGAGACACGGUCCAGACUCCUACGGGAGGCAGCAGUGGGGAAUAUUGGACAAUGGGCGCAAGCCUGAUCCAGCCAUGCCGCGUGUGUGAAGAAGGCCUCGGGUUGUAAAGCACUUUCAGCGAGGAGGAAGAGUUGUGUGUUAAUAGCACACAGCUUUGACGUUACUCGCAGAAGAAGCACCGGCUAACUCUGUG